GACGAACGCUGGCGGCGUGCUUAACACAUGCAAGUCGAACGGAAAGGCCCUGCUUUUGUGGGGUGCUCGAGUGGCGAACGGGUGAGUAACACGUGAGUAACCUGCCCUUGACUUUGGGAUAACUUCAGGAAACUGGGGCUAAUACCGGAUAGGAGCUCCUGCUGCAUGGUGGGGGUUGGAAAGUUUCGGCGGUUGGGGAUGGACUCGCGGCUUAUCAGCUUGUUGGUGGGGUAGUGGCUUACCAAGGCUUUGACGGGUAGCCGGCCUGAGAGGGUGACCGGCCACAUUGGGACUGAGAUACGGCCCAGACUCCUACGGGAGGCAGCAGUGGGGAAUAUUGCACAAUGGGCGGAAGCCUGAUGCGGCAACGCCGCGUGCGGGAUGACGGCCUUCGGGUUGUAUACCGCUUUCGCCUGUGACGAAGCGUGAGUGACGGUAAUGGGUAAAGAAGCACCGGCUAACUACGUG
rnacentral:rRNA from 1 species